GAUGAACGCUGGCGGCGUGCCUAACACAUGCAAGUCGAGCGACCGGACGGUAAGAGUGCGUCCCUGAGGGUGGCGGGUGGCGGGUGAGUAACACGUGCAUCACCUACCUAUAUUACUGGGAUAAUUACGGGAAACCGGUGCUAAUAAUAGAUAAUAUUUUGUACCGCUUGAUUCAAAAGUGAUUGACGGUCUUGCCGUCAGCUAUAGAUGGAUCCGCGCUUCAUUAGCUAGUUGGCAAGGUAACGGCUUACCAAGGCGACGAUGCAUAGCUGACCUGAGAGGAUGAUCGGCCACACUGGAACUGAGACACGGUCCAGACUCCUACGGGAGGCAGCCGUGGGGAAUAUUCGGCAAUGGGCGCAAGCCUGAUGCAGCAAUGCCGCGUGGGUGAAGAAGGUCUUCGGGUCGUAAAACUCUGUUAUUAGGGAAGAAAAUCAGUGUAAUAAUCUCUCGCUAUCUUGACGGUACCUAAUCAAUAAGCCCCGGCUAACUUCGUG
rnacentral:rRNA from 1 species